GAUGAACGCUGGCGGCGUGCCUAAUACAUGCAAGUCGAGCGAACGGACGAGAAGCUUGCUUCUCUGAUGUUAGCGGCGGACGGGUGAGUAACACGUGGAUAACCUACCUAUAAGACUGGGAUAACUUCGGGAAACCGGAGCUAAUACCGGAUGAUAUUUUGAACCGCAUGGUUCAAAAGUGAAAGACGGUCUUGCUGUCACUUAUAGAUGGAUCCGCGCUGCAUUAGCUAGUUGGUGAGGUAACGGCUUACCAAGGCAACGAUGCAUAGCCGACCUGAGAGGGUGAUCGGCCACCCUGGAACUGAGACACGGUCCAGACUCCUACGGGAGGCAGCAGUAGGGAAUCUUCCGCAAUGGGCGAAAGCCUGACGGAGCAACGCCGCGUGAGUGAUGAAGGUCUUCGGAUCGUAAAACUCUGUUAUUAGGGAAGAACAUAUGUGUAAGUAACUGUGCACAUCUUGACGGUACCUAAGCAGAAAGCCACGGCUAACUACGU
rnacentral:rRNA from 1 species